rnacentral:lncRNA from 1 species
UUCUCCUCUCCCUGGCUGGUGUGCUGUCCCACCUGACUGUGUUAAAGAUGCCGCUCCCCUCCACUGAGCCUGCCAUGGAGUCUCCUGGAGUACUCGGAGUCUUUGAGAGAAGACAGCAUUUGGGGGAACAGAAUUUGGGAGACCUUGUGCAGUAAAUCAGCAAGAUCACAGCAGG